CUCUACUAAUUAACAAGCAUGGAGAAAAUAAGAACUAGAGAAAACUAGGUAUUCAUGAUCAUCACUAGGUUUAUAAUCCUCACUAUGAUGAUAUUACAAAUGAGGAUGCUUAAGUAAUGCAAGAAUAUAAAAGCCAAGAAUAAAGAUGAGUUAUCCAACUCAAACUUCAUUUGAUGUAUGUAUGAACUAAAAAAGAUAGUUUGCC
rnacentral:lncRNA from 1 species